UAGGGAAUCUUCGGCAAUGGACGGAANNNUGGACCGAGCAACGCCACGUGAGUGAAGAAGGUUUUCGGAUCGUAAAGCUCUGUUGUAAGAGAAGAACGAGUGUGAGAAUGGAAAGUUCAUACUGUGACGGUACUUAACCAGAAAGGGACGGCUAACUACGUGCCAGCAGCCGCGGUAAUACGUAGGUCCCGAGCGUUGUCCGGAUUUAUUGGGCGUAAAGCGAGCGCAGGCGGUUAGAAAAGUCUGAAGUGAAAGGCAGUGGCUCAACCAUUGUAGGCUUUGGAAACUGUUUAACUUGAGUGCAGAAGGGGAGAGUGGAAUUCCAUGUGUAGCGGUGAAAUGCGUAGAUAUAUGGAGGAACACCGGUGGCGAAAGCGGCUCUCUGGUCUGUAACUGACGCUGAGGCUCGAAAGCGUGGGGAGCGAACAGGAUUAGAUACCCUGGUAGUCCACGCCGUAAACGAUGAGUGCUAGGUGUUAGGUCCUUUCCGGGACUUAGUGCCGCAGCUAACGCAUUAAGCACUCCGCCUGGGGAGUACGACCGCAAGUUG
rnacentral:rRNA from 1 species